CUCGAUAGGCGAGUCGUGGAGGGUCCACUCGAGGACUGGUGUGCCGGCGACAGAGUUGGUGAUAGAGGGAGCUAGCUAUUACCAGUUUAUCCAGGAUUCUCUUCGUCUCCCGGAGCCUGGCGCUGAGGGUCCUGACCCUUUGUUGGGGGGAUGGGUGCUUCCCGAUGCUCGGAUCUCGUAUACCGGAGAGAGUGGAUCCGAGAUUGUGGAGACUUUCCCGGAAGACCGGGUUUUCCAUGCUCCGCUCCCUGAGGGAGUAGAGGCGGUUCCGGCCCGUACG